GUCAGGGUGUAUGUGGUGUAAUUAACACAAUGAUUUACACUUACUUUAAAGCACUGUCCUAGAAGAAACAAGAUCAUGAUAAGGACCACAUGGCGGGUGUGACCGGUCGGCAGGGUAUGCUCACUCCUCCAUGAUACCUGAUCCUACUUCUGAUGUUUUAAAGUAUAUUGAAGUAAAUUGGAAGAUGCCUCUUGAAUGAAAACAGGAUUGAUGUGAUGCAUGGGAUUAGGCUCGGAAACAGCACACAUCGCAUGUAACAAGCUAUUUCCUUUUGUUACAAAAUGAGAUCAAAACAUGGAUUUCCUGCCAGCUUUGAUAUGUCCAAACAAGAAGAAUAUCAUUAAGACGAAGCUUUAUUGGUAAUAUCAUCGGUCUUCAAAGUCCUGUCUACUUUUAAUUUUCUACGAAGCAAAAAGGAUAAAGAAAAGCGAUUGGUAGGAUCCUCAGGUGGCCAAUAGUGAGAGACGGGAGGACAUUCGCCGAGUCUACAAGAUACGGAUCCAAAUAACUCCAAACUAAUGCGGAAAUGAAUGUCAAUCAGUUAUUUUCAAUUGGAAGCAAUCUUAUUACACGUUUGAGUCUUUUUUCAUUGGUAUUGAAUUAUCUAGGU